rnacentral:rRNA from 2 species
UGGAUCCAGACUUUGAUUAUGGCUCAGGAUGAACGCUAGCUACAGGCUUAACACAUGCAAGUCGAGGGGCAGCGGGAUUGAAGCUUGCUUCAAUUGCCGGCGACCGGCGCACGGGUGAGUAACGCGUAUCCAACCUUCCGUACACUCAGGGAUAGCCUUUCGAAAGAAAGAUUAAUACCUGAUGGUAUGAUGAGAUUGCAUGAUAGCAUCAUUAAAGAUUUAUCGGUGUACGAUGGGGAUGCGUUCCAUUAGGUAGUAGGCGGGGUAACGGCCCACCUAGCCAACGAUGGAUAGGGGUUCUGAGAGGAAGGUCCCCCACAUUGGAACUGAGACACGGUCCAAACUCCUACGGGAGGCAGCAGUGAGGAAUAUUGGUCAAUGGACGAGAGUCUGAACCAGCCAAGUAGCGUGAAGGAUGAAGGUCCUACGGAUUGUAAACUUCUUUUAUAAGGGAAUAAACCCUCCCACGUGUGGGAGCUUGUAUGUACCUUAUGAAUAAGCAUCGGCUAACUCCGUGCCAGCAGCCGCGGUAAUACGGAGGAUGCGAGCGUUAUCCGGAUUUAUUGGGUUUAAAGGGAGCGCAGACGGGUCGUUAAGUCAGCUGUGAAAGUUUGGGGCUCAACCUUAAAAUUGCAGUUGAUACUGGCGUCCUUGAGUGCGGUUGAGGUGUGCGGAAUUCGUGGUGUAGCGGUGAAAUGCUUAGAUAUCACGAAGAACUCCGAUUGCGAAGGCAGCACACUAAUCCGUAACUGACGUUCAUGCUCGAAAGUGUGGGUAUCAAACAGGAUUAGAUACCCUGGUAGUCCACACGGUAAACGAUGGAUACUCGCUGUUGGCGAUAUACUGUCAGCGGCUUAGCGAAAGCGUUAAGUAUCCCACCUGGGGAGUACGCCGGCAACGGUGCAACUCAAAUGAAUUGACGGA